rnacentral:rRNA from 1 species
UUGUGUAUUAUUACUUUGUUGCUUUGGCGAGCUGCCUUCGGGCCUUGUAUGCUCGCCAGAGAAAACCAAAACUCUUUUUAUUAAUGUCGUCUGAGUACUAUAUAAUAGUUAAAACUUUCAACAACGGAUCUCUUGGUUCUGGCAUCGAUGAAGAACGCAGCGAAAUGCGAUAAGUAAUGUGAAUUGCAGAAUUCAGUGAAUCAUCGAAUCUUUGAACGCACAUUGCGCCCCUUGGUAUUCCGGGGGGCAUGCCUGUUCGAGCGUCAUUUCAACCCUCAAGCUUAGCUUGGUAUUGAGUCUAUGUCAGUAAUGGCAGGCUCUAAAAUCAGUGGCGGCGCCGCUGGGUCCUGAACGUAGUAAUAUCUCUCGUUACAGGUUCUCGGUGUGCUUCUGCCAAAACCCAAAUUUUUCUAUGGUUGACCUCGGAUCAGGUAGGGAUACCCGCUGAACUUAAGCAUAUCAAUAAGCGGAGGAA